rnacentral:tRNA from 1 species
UCGUGCGGUAAAAAAAAAAAUAUAUUUUCUCGCACGCCAGAACUUUGUUCCGCCCCCUAUGGCGGAGCUCGCACGAGC